GACGUAGGGGGCCAGCGUUGUUCGGAAUUACUGGGUGUAAAGGGUUCGUAGGCGGUGCGGCAAGUUGGGAGUGAAAUCUCUGGGCUUAACCCAGAGGCUGCUUCCAAAAACUGCUGUGCUUGAGUGUGGGAGAGGCGCGUGGAAUUGCAGGUGUAGCGGUGAAAAUGCGUAGAUAUCGGGAGGAACACCUGUGGCGAAAAGCGGCGCACUGGACCACAACUGACGCUGAUGCGCGAAAAGCUAGGGGGAGCAAACAGG
rnacentral:rRNA from 1 species